UAGAUAUCGGGAGGAACACCAGUGGCGAAGGCGGCCUACUGGGCACCAACUGACGCUGAGGCUCGAAAGUGUGGGUAGCAAACAGGAUUAGAUACCCUGGUAGUCCACACCGUAAACGAUGAUUACUAGGUGUUGGAGGAUUGACCCCUUCAGUGCCGCAGUUAACACAAUAAGUAAUCCACCUGGGGAGUACGACCGCAAGGUUGAAACUCAAAGGAAUUGACGGGGGCCCGCACAAGCAGUGGAGUAUGUGGUUUAAUUCGACGCAACGCGAAGAACCUUACCAAGUCUUGACAUCCUGCGACGAUGCUAGAAAUAGUAUUUUCCUUCGGGACGCAGAGACAGGUGGUGCAUGGUUGUCGUCAGCUCGUGUCGUGAGAUGUUGGGUUAAGUCCCGCAACGAGCGCAACCCUUACUGUUAGUUGCUACGCAAGAGCACUCUAGCAGGACUGCCGUUGACAAAACGGAGGAAGGUGGGGAUGACGUCAAAUCAUCAUGCCCCUUAUGACCUGGGCCUCACACGUACUACAAUGGCUGUCAACAGAGGGAAGCAAAGCCGCGAGGUGGAGCGAACCCCUAAAAGCAGUCUUAGUUCGGAUUGUAGGCUGCAACCCGCCUACAUGAAGUCGGAAUUGCUAGUAAUCGCAGAUCAGCAUGCUGCGGUGAAUACGUUCCCGGGCCUUGUACACACCGCCC
rnacentral:rRNA from 1 species